rnacentral:pre_miRNA from 1 species
UAGACAGGCCUGAUCCUGCAUCCCUUACUCACGUGAGCAGUCGUCUCUAUUUCACGGGACUACUCGGUGAGUAAGGAUCGCAGGACUGGGACCACUACC